AACGAACGCUGGCGGCAUGCCUAACACAUGCAAGUCGAACGAUUGCCUUCGGGUGAUAGUGGCGCACGGGUGCGUAACGCGUGGGAAUCUGCCCUUAGGUUCGGAAUAACAGCUGGAAACGGCUGCUAAUACCGGAUGAUAUCGCGAGAUCAAAGAUUUAUCGCCUGAGGAUGAGCCCGCGUUGGAUUAGGUAGUUGGUGGGGUAAAGGCCUACCAAGCCGACGAUCCAUAGCUGGUCUGAGAGGAUGAUCAGCCACACUGGGACUGAGACACGGCCCAGACUCCUACGGGAGGCAGCAGUGGGGAAUAUUGGACAAUGGGCGCAAGCCUGAGCCAGCAAUGCCGCGUGAGUGAUGAAGGCCCUAGGGUUGUAAAGCUCUUUUACCCGGGAAGAUAAUGACUGUACCGGGAGAAUAAGCCCCGGCUAACUCCGUG
rnacentral:rRNA from 1 species